rnacentral:rRNA from 1 species
AAAUUGAAGAGUUUGAUCAUGGCUCAGAUUGAACGCUGGCGGCAGGCCUAACACAUGCAAGUCGAACGGUAACAGGAAGCAGCUUGCUGCUUUGCUGACGAGUGGCGGACGGGUGAGUAAUGUCUGGGAAACUGCCUGAUGGAGGGGGAUAACUACUGGAAACGGUGGCUAAUACCGCAUAACGUCGCAAGACCAAAGAGGGGGACCUUCGGGCCUCUUGCCAUCAGAUGUGCCCAGAUGGGAUUAGCUUGUUGGUGAGGUAACGGCUCACCAAGGCGACGAUCCCUAGCUGGUCUGAGAGGAUGACCAGCCACACUGGAACUGAGACACGGUCCAGACUCCUACGGGAGGCAGCAGUGGGGAAUAUUGCACAAUGGGCGCAAGCCUGAUGCAGCCAUGCCG